rnacentral:lncRNA from 1 species
CUUAUCCAGCCAAGUUGCAGGAGGAACCCCUGAAGUAGUCUACAACACAUAUUCAGUUAUCAAAAUUUUUGGUCCUCAAGUCACUUUGAUUUUACUAAAAGCAAUCAUUUGAAGGACAUCUUGUCAGCUGGAAUCCCAAACAAACAGACGAGCAUGAAACAGGAGGCAGAAACCAUCCCCAACCCACCCUUAUGGAUCAACUGCAGCACUCAGAAGAAGAGAAAGUUGCUGGUGAAUGAAAAGAUGCCAGUAUGUUCUCUCAGAUGUGUGUCUCCAGACGGGGAAGUUUUCUGUGGAUGUCACAGCCAGAGGCUAAUAUAUUCUGCUAAACCCCUGGAUUACUGUGUCGGUUACAUAGGACCGCCAGAGCAUUCUUAACACUUCUGGAAACCUGCUCCGCAAAAUCAAUAGGUCAAAAGGAUUUCCUGUAUCUCAAAAGUGUGACAGU